UAGGGAAUCUUCGGCAAUGGGGGCAACCCUGACCGAGCAACGCCGCGUGAGUGAAGAAGGUUUUCGGAUCGUAAAGCUCUGUUGUAAGAGAAGAACGAGUGUGAGAGUGGAAAGUUCACACUGUGACGGUAUCUUACCAGAAAGGGACGGCUAACUACGUGCCAGCAGCCGCGGUAAUACGUAGGUCCCGAGCGUUGUCCGGAUUUAUUGGGCGUAAAGCGAGCGCAGGCGGUUAGAUAAGUCUGAAGUUAAAGGCUGUGGCUUAACCAUAGUACGCUUUGGAAACUGUUUAACUUGAGUGCAAGAGGGGAGAGUGGAAUUCCAUGUGUAGCGGUGAAAUGCGUAGAUAUAUGGAGGAACACCGGUGGCGAAAGCGGCUCUCUGGCUUGUAACUGACGCUGAGGCUCGAAAGCGUGGGGAGCAAACAGGAUUAGAUACCCUGGUAGUCCACGCCGUAAACGAUGAGUGCUAGGUGUUAGACCCUUUCCGGGGUUUAGUGCCGUAGCUAACGCAUUAAGCACUCCGCCUGGGGGAGUACGACCGCAAGGGUUG
rnacentral:rRNA from 1 species